rnacentral:rRNA from 1 species
GUUUGAUCCUGGCUCAGAACGAACGCUGGCGGCGUGCCUAACACAUGCAAGUCGAACGGAAUUAAGGGGCUUGCUCCUUAAUUUAGUGGCGCACGGGUGAGUAAUGCGUAGAUAAUCUACCCAAGGAUCCGGGAUAACAUUUCGAAAGGGGUGCUAAUACCGGAUAAGCCCACGGAGUCUUCGGACUCUGCGGGAAAAGGGGGGGACCUUCGGGCCUUCUGUCCUCGGAUGAGUCUACGUACCAUUAGCUAGUUGGUGGGGUAAAGGCCUACCAAGGCUACGAUGGUUAGCUGGUCUGAGAGGAUGAUCAGCCACACUGGAACUGAGACACGGUCCAGACUCCUACGGGAGGCAGCAGUGGGGAAUUUUGCGCAAUGGGGGAAACCCUGACGCAGCAACGCCGCGUGAGUGAUGAAGGCCUUCGGGUCGUAAAGCUCUGUCAGUGGGAAAGAAAUGUACGAGGGCCAAUACCCCUUGUACUUGACGGUACCCACAAAGGAAGCACCGGCUAACUCCGUGCCAGCAGCCGCGGUAAUACGGAGGGUGCGAGCGUUGUUCGGAAUUAUUGGGCGUAAAGCGCGUGUAGGCGGCUCCUUAAGUCUGAUGUGAAAGCCCCGGGCUCAACCUGGGAAGUGCAUUGGAAACUGGGGAACUUGAAUACGGG